UACGGAGGGUGCGAGCGUUAAUCGGAUUUACUGGGCGUAAAGCGUGCGCAGGCGGCCCGUUAAGACAGGUGUGAAAUCCCUGGGCUCAACCUAGGAAUUGCGCUUGUGACUGGCGGGCUCGAGUACGGUAGAGGGGGGUGGAAUUCCUGGUGUAGCAGUGAAAUGCGUAGAUAUCGGGAGGAAGGCCGGUGGCGAAGGCGGCCCCCUGGGCCUGUACUGACGCUCAUGCACGAAAGCGUGGGGAGCAAACAGG
rnacentral:rRNA from 1 species